CUUUUAUCUACAAUUUUUCUCUGUAAGAAAAUAAGUAGAUCAUUGAUACAAUUUAGUCACCUCAUGAAAUCAGAUAGGGAAUGUCGAUUUCCUAAAUUCUCUAAAUACUCAGUCUAAGAUCGGCCUCUCCCAGCCACUUAGUUGGUGUAUGUUCAAGAAAUACACAUUUGUUUUUGGACAACACAUUAUAACGCAUGUCAAACUUAAAAAUGUUGCUUCCAAAAAGGAGUAUGACAUAUUCCUAAGACAACUCUAAUUUAUAAGUACCUGUUGCUUUGGUUUAAAUGCCCCUGUAUUUCCUCUGCUUGGUGGCAGAAUCGUGAGACGUGGGGGCUCUGGCCUUACGCUGCCUGUAUUACGGUAUCACUUACAGCUAUGUGGCCUUAGGCAAGUUGUUUCAUUUCUCUCGGCCCUAUUUCCAGAUCCAUGAAAUGAGGACAAUUACUGCUCCUGCCUGCAGCAGUCAGCUACGGCCAUGAUAAUACCGUGUAACAACAUCACAAAACAAUGACAACAAAAUAAAGUCAUGCAAUGUCACAUAAUGUAACAAAACACCCCGCGGCUCAAAACCCAUUUAUUUUCCUCACUCAUGCAUGUCCUGACUGGCUGUGGAGCCCUUACUGAGGCCGUGCGUCCUCCUCAUGUCCCUCAUCGUCCUUGGGCCGGAAACCACAUGCAGUGUGCUUUCCUCUUGGCAAACGAGAGAAGCCCAAGAGCCAAGCGAAACCAUCCUCACAUCACAGCCACCCAUGUUCUAACUGUUUGAAGCCUGGUGUUGGGGAAGCAACAUGAGAUAUUCCAUCCCAAGUGGCUGCCGAACGAUUGAAUUGAUCAGGCAGUCCUGCAGGACUGUUCUGAAGAAUGACUGAGACAAUUCAUAUGUAGCAAGAGAGUGGAGCUGUGUCACAUCUCGUCCCAAUUUCAUUAAUGUCUGGCUUAAAGAAGACAGAUGUUAUCUCCUGCUCGCUUCUGCCAAGUCAGUCAAUCGGUCUCCCUGUCACCUAUCAACCUCUGGAAAACUCCAGUGAAUACUCAAGACAGAAUAAAAAGGAAGGGGCAGAUUUAUCAGACCAAGGAAAGACCUCAGAAUCAGCAGGGUUGGAGAAUUUCCUCUGCCUUCAUCAAAACCAAACCGUCCCUUCUGCUUGCUGUCUGGAGUAAUUCUUCCUACUAUAUCACUGGAGACAAAGGACUUAAAAUGUUGAUACAAACUGACAAAUUCCUUGUUCGGUCCAUUAAAAAGUAGAACUGAUCGAUAUUAGAUUCUUCAAACACAUGAAAAAAUCAAGAAAGGACAUGUUGCCAUAUGUCACAUUGGCCUACCCUGGAGGCUGACGGGAAGGUGAGAGACAGAAAACAAACUUGUUAGGUUUCAAAAUUUUUGCCUAUGUGAAGCCCUGUCUACCUUAAACCAGGCAGAGAAACUCUCCUCUGAGAAGGCGUUUCUGUCAAGACUGAGUCAUAAUUUCUAGCACGAGCUGCUUUU